UCAGUGCAAUGAUUACAACAUGCAAACAAAGAGAAUAAACCUCUGAUCUAUGCCAGUUGAGCCAGUAUAGUGUAUAACCAAUGCAUUCUCCUCUAAUGACAGCCUUCAAACACAGGCACGUCUUUGUUUUUGCACAUACAGAAGUGCAUAUACUGUACACACAAGCACAUUUUUGCAAAAUGCAUGAAAGAUUUUGCUUCCAGUCUAAAUGUCUACAGACCUUUGCAUUUCAAGUGCUAAAUGAUUUUACCUAAUUCCUUAGCAAUGUAACAGACUGACCCAGAUGGAGAGGUGUCUGCAGUCAGGUAAAUGCUCCGCUAAAUGUCUGACACAUUUAAAGUGAGAGCAGAGCAUGUUCUUAAUCCAGCUGCUGUCACUGUCUUGCCUCUACAACCCAAACCUCUUAAACCAUGGUUGUAUAAUUGACAUAAUCUCCACUUUGACUCUGACAGGCUAUAUUUCAAGCUACCGCAGGAUAUCACACAUCUUCACUGUUUAUUUACAGUGAAGAAUGAGAGAAAAGAAAGUAGAAAAUGAUUAUUGUAGAUACGUUUUUGGCUUAACUCUUCCAUAAAUAACAUGUGUAUUUUAACACUUUCUAAUCAUUCUAGUUCCACCCUGGUAAUGUGUCACUCAUCCUGAAAUUGAUACCUAUGCAUGUGAGUAUGUGGAGAGGGAGAAUAAGAUCAGGCAGCACUUAAGGAUGCCCAUGUCUAUCUUGCUUCUGUCUGCAGAGCUCCAGCAGACCUUAACGCUGUCUCAUAUGUCAGCCACUUACAAAGGCCCCCCUCUCUGACCUGUACCACUCCCACUACUCAGCACUGAACACACAGUAUAUGAUAGGGGACGCCACACACAAAGCACAGCACCCAGGGGCGACACGGGACCGACUUAGACACGAAAACCCUCUCAUGUCUCCGCUACAUUUUUUCCGUAUUGCUUCCUCUGCCUCUCUUCUCCUUCUCUUCUCUGGUGCAUCUCUGACACUGGACAGUUUUCAUCCUUUAUCUGACCCUUCAACAGUCCAUCCAUCCAUCAGAGCAGGACACAAUAGUUUGUCCCUGCGUGGGACAGGCCUCCCUUCAAUGGACUGCCAUGGAGAGGACAGAGCUCAUGCAGGAAUCUGAUCCCCUGAGCAAAUCAACAAGCUCAUUAGAACCACAGGCACAGGUUUGAACACCUUCCGCUGCUUUUAGCGCUUGCGGUGCUCACUCAAGAUACAACUCUACUAUUUGUUUUAUUAUUUGUAACAUAUCGUUUUCUGUGUUGUAUGCACAAGUUCCUUGAAUUGUGAAAACCAUAUCUAGCAACAAACCAGGUGCUGAUGAGACAAUUGAGGACACCAUCUUGGACCUAUAGGAAAAACUGAUCACAUUUUUCAUGAUUUCUUCCAUUUUAUUGGUCAAGCAAUUCAUUGAUGAAUCAAGAAAGUAAUCACAAGAUGAAUAAUCAGUAGUUUCCAGCUCUAAUUUUUUUACCGUCAUUUUAGGGGGAAGCUUGGUCGUUACCCACCAUGGCCAGGAAAGAUAGUCAGCCCUCCGAAGGAUCUGAAAAAGCCAAGAGGCAAAAAGUGCCAUUUUGUGAAAUUUUUCAGAACUGAAGACCAGUAAGUAGGACUGUAAGGAACCUGCUGGAGCUGCACCUUAAUGUUCAUAUCAGUUAUGUAAUAGUGGUAGUAUGGAUACUGCAAACAUUUCAACUGGAUUUGUACACACUGGACACUGAUUACAUGCUAAGAAAAGUCCUGGAGCACCUGUAAUUAUAUAGUUACCAAAUUGCUGUCCAAAACUAAAAAAAAAAAAAAAAAAAAAAAAAAAAAACUGCAUGAAAUGAUAUUUUUAUCACUUGUUUGCAGCAGGGUCUGAUUCUUUCCCCUGAGUCAGUCUCCUGGAGUUAACUACACAUCCAGUCUCCAUUCUUAAACUGUUUCACAGAUAGCCUUUCCAGUAAACCUAAAACUACAAAGACCUUCUCACAUUUUUCCCAUCCCACCCACAUGUGUCUGAGAAACUAACUUUGCUCAUGGGGACCUGAAGCAUACUUCUAUGUGUGUGUCAUUAUGAGGUUAUAUCCCAUUUGGAUAAUCCACAGCUGAAGAAGCAGCUCCUUAAAACUCUACAGUGUAUGACAAACAUAAGUGCAGGUGUGUCAAAAUAUGCAGCAGUCACUUCUAUCGUAAAAAUCUCUGGAAUCCUAUCAAGCCUUUUUUUCUUUCUUUCUUUCUCUCUUUUCUUUUACUUUAUCUUUGCGUCUCUUUCAUGCACAAUUGUCUGCGUGUGCAUGCAUGUGCGCCUGUGCAACAGUUUGCAAGUCACCGCAGCUACCCUCCAGAUUGUAUGAUAAACACUGCAAACAAGGCAGAACUGGAGAAGAAGGUGGAGUAACAACAGUAGACUCACUAUCAUGACUAUAAAAUAACCCACCAGUUAAUGCAAUUCAAGAAGAAAGCCCCCCCCACCCCA